GAUGAACGCUAGCGGCAGGCCUAAUACAUGCAAGUCGAACGGUGUAGCAAUACACAGUGGCGCACGGGUGCGUAACACGUAUGCAACCUACCUUACAUUGGGGGAUAGCCUUUCGAAAGGGAGAUUAAUACCGCAUAAGACAGUAACUGGGCAUCCAGUAGCUGUUAAAGAUUUAUCGAUGUAAGCUGGGCAUGCGUCCAAUUAGUUAGUUGGCGAGGUAAUGGCUCACCAAGACGAUGAUUGGUAGGGGAACUGAGAGGUCAAUCCCCCACACUGGCACUGAGAUACGGGCCAGGCUCCUACGGGAGGCAGCAGUAGGGAAUAUUGGGCAAUGGGCGCAAGCCUGACCCAGCCAUGCCGCGUGCAGGAAGAAGGCGUUAUGCGUUGUAAACUGCUUUUAUACAGGAAGAAACGACCCUUGCGAGGGGCAUUGACGGUACUGUAUGAAUAAGCACCGGCUAACUCCGUGCCAGCCGCCGCGGUAACAC
rnacentral:rRNA from 1 species